UACGAAGGGGGCGAGCGUUGUUCGGAUUUACUGGGCGUAAAGGGCGCGCAGGCGGCUUUGUUUGUCAGGCGUGAAAGCCCCGGGCUUAACCUGGGAACUGCGUUUGAUACGGCAGGGCUAGAGUUCGGGAGAGGAGCGUGGAAUUCCCGGUGUAGAGGUGAAAUUCGUAGAUAUUGGGAAGAACACCGGUGGCGAAGGCGGCGCUCUGGACCGAGACUGACGCUGAGGCGCGAAAGCGUGGGGAGCAAACAGG
rnacentral:rRNA from 1 species